CCUACGGGAGGCUGCAGUGGGGAAUAUUGGACAAUGGGGGGAACCCUGAUCCAGCGACGCCGCGUGAGUGAAGAAGUAUUUCGGUAUGUAAAGCUCUAUCAGCAGGGAAGAAAGAAAUGACGGUACCUGACUAAGAAGCCCCGGCUAACUACGUGCCAGCAGCCGCGGUAAUACGUAGGGGGCAAGCGUUAUCCGGCUUUACUGGGGGUAAAGGGAGCGUAGACGGCGAUGCAAGUCUGAAGUGAAAGGCGGGGGCACAACCCCUGGACUGCUUUGGAAACUGUAUGGCUGGAGUGCAGGAGAGGUAAGUGGAAUUCCUAGUGUAGCGGUGAAAUGCGUAGAUAUUAGGAGGAACACCAGUGGCGAAGGCGGCUUACUGGACUGUAACUGACGUUGAGGCUCGAAAGCGUGGGGAGCAAACAGGAUUAGAUACCCGAGUAGUC
rnacentral:rRNA from 1 species